rnacentral:rRNA from 1 species
CGCGUAGGCGGGUGUUUAAGUCAGAGGUUAAAUCCCAGGGCUCAACCCUGGAACUGCCUUUGAUACUGGGCACCUAGAGUACGGGAGAGGUGUGUGGAACUCCGAGUGUAGAGGUGAAAUUCGUAGAUAUUCGGAAGAACACCAGUGGCGAAGGCGACACACUGGCCCGUUACUGACGCUGAGGCGCGAAAGCGUGGGGAGCAAACAGGAUUAGAUACCCUGGUAGUCCACGCCGUAAACGAUGAGUGCUAGUUGUCGGCAUGCAUGCAUGUCGGUGACGCAGCUAACGCAUUAAGCACUCCGCCUGGGGAGUACGGUCGCAAGAUUAAA